GCCGGGAUAGCUCAGUCGGUAGAGCAGAGGACUGAAAAUCCUUGUGUCGGUGGUUCAAUUCCGCCUCUCGGCACCA
rnacentral:tRNA from 1 species